UGGUCUCGAACUCUUGACCUCAUGAUCCGCCCACCUCAGCCUCCCAAAGUGCUGGGAUUACAAGUGUGAGUCACUGUCCUGGCCCUUACUUUCAUAUGUUGAUUUAGUAUCCUGAAACUUUACUAAAGUCAUUUAUCACAAGAUCAGAAAGGAAAUCUUAAUGGCCACCUGCAGUGAACACCUUUUGAGCUUUAUUUUUUGCCUGGGUUCAUUGUGUCAUAAGAUACCUCUUUGUCCUUUAAGUGUUCAUCUUCCUUGGCCCCCAUGAUGUCACUGUCUGUGGGACCUUGUCCAACUCCUUGUACUUCUAUCUUAGCCUUCUGGUUAGAUUUAUCUUUUUCUGUAUAUUUGUAUGCCCAUCUUUAGCACUGUUCUUUGUCUGCUUUGCCUGUUACAUACUGUCACAGCCACCUAGCACUUAUACCCCAGUUACUACCAAAACUGUUCUUCUAGCCUCAAGUUUUCUUCUAAGUAAUAUAUCUAAUGUCCACCACUUGGUGGAGAGCUCCUCCUGGUUCACCCUGAAUGUCUGGUCUCAAAUAUUAUUUUUCUCUUCCAGAUCUACUCCUUCAUGCCUAAUAUCAUCAAGAUUUUUCACAACUACUGAAAUUGUUUACCUUCCAGCCACAUUCAAUAACCAGAUUCUUUAAUGCCACCUCCUAAAAUUUGCUUGCCACUGAUAAGAUUUAAAUUCCUUUCCAGCUCUAUUUCUAGUCAUGACCUCUGAAAAGAUACUCCUUCUGGGUCUGUGUUUCUCAUGUCUAAAAAUAUUUGUGCUAGAUCAAGGGAUAGCACAGGAGGGCCCAGGGGCCAAACACAGUCUGCUACCCAUUUUUGUAAAUAAACUUUUGUUUGUAAUUGUUUUUAUGCUGCAAAUUUGAGUAGUGACAGAGACUUCGUGUCCCACAAGCCUUAAAUAUUUACCAUCUGGCCCUUUCCAGAAAAAGUUUGCUGACCCCUAACCAGAAAAUCUCCCAUCUAGUUUCCAUUUUUUUAAAAUAUGUUUUUUUGUGACCACUCAUGAUCAAGUCUAGGGAUAAUAGGCAUUUUAAAAUUGCCCCCUAAUGUUUCAUUUUAAUUGAUUUAUCAUUAGAAGUCACCAACAGAAAUAAUUGCUUUUUUUUAAUAUUGCAAGAACCUUAUCAUAAAAUAUUCUUCAGUGUUUCAAAUUUGAAGCUUUUUGAAUUUUUAGUAUUUUUUUAAUAUGUUGUGUAAAUCCCACUGUUAGCCACCCUAACGAGACCUUGGUCUUAAGGUUUAAAAAACAAUAAGAAAAAGAGUAGAAAAAUUGAUAGUAGUAGAAUGUUUAACAAAAGAAAUUAAACAUGGGACAUCCCGUAAUGUUAGGAUCUCUGUUUCCCCCUCUAAUAGCCUUUGUGAUUCAAAGUCAUGUAGUGGUAAAUGGAUGAAUAGGAUUUUCAUUGCCAUUUUGUGCUGACAGGCUUUUUUUAGUUAAUUACUUUUUAAAAUAAUUUAUAGUGAAUACAUCGACAAUUCAAUUUAUACUUUGAUAGUUAAAGCCUCUUAAAAGGCACUGAUAACUAUAUUUUGAAGGUAAAGAAUACAGCUAGUUAAAAUUCUGACCACUGAUUGUAAGUAUAAUUAAGAAACCUUUUUUUAAGCAGUGGGGAACCUGGGUAAAAUAAAUGCAAACCAACAGCAAAACUGAUGGUAAAAGUAUAUAAAUUUUUAUAAAGGAAUGAGUUGCAGAAGAAAAAAUAUACUUUUAAAAUGUUACUAUUCAUCAAAGCAGAUUAUUUCCCAUCAUGAUAAAAUUCUUUCCACUUGCAUUUUCUGGCAUAUAUAAAAGGAAUAUUCAAGGUAUGUAAAAAAAAAAAUACUUAGAUAAAAAGUUGUGAAUAUCAACACUUACCUCAUGUGCUGAUGUGUACUGAUAACUGCAAGUUAUUUUGAAAUGUAUCAAAAAAAUGGUGGAUUGAUGUAUGGUUAGAGGGUUGGAUAUGUGAUGAACCAAAUACAGUAAAAUGUUAGUUGGAGACUAUGGGUAGUGGAUACAGGGGAUUGGUGUUCACUGUAAAACUUUCACAUCUUUUUUGUUUGAAAUUUUUCUUAACAUAUAUUAGAUAAAAUGUUUAGAUCUAAGUGGCUGUGAGAUAGUGAAUUUAGGGAGAAGGAUGUAAGAGUGAGAACACAUACAGUGUACCUUAAAUAAAUAAUUAAAAGUUUAUAUGUUGAGCAUACCUUGUGUAUAAGCACAUGCUUCUCAACUGUUUUAUUGUGUAUUUCACAGAUUUGCUUCCAUUAGGACUAUUCUUAGGUUAUAAGUAAAAAAAAACAAGAACUGUAAAACUUUCACUUCAAGGAACAUCCUGACUUUCACAUUAUACACUGUAACUCUAUUAGUCCAUUUUCAUGCUGCUGAUAAAGACAUACCAGAGACUGGGUAAUUUAGUAAGGAAAAAGAUUUAAUUGACUUACAGUUCCACAUUGGCUGGGGAGGCCUCACAGUCAUGGUGGAAGGUAAGGAGGAGCAAAAUCAUGUCUUACAUGGAUGGCGGCAGUCGAAAUAUGAGAGAUUGUCUUGUGCAGGGUAACUCCUUUAUAAAACCGUCAGAUCUCAUGAGAUUUAUUCACUGUCAUGAAAACAACAUGGGGCAAACUGCCCCCAUGAUUCAGUUAUCUCCCAUUGGGUCCCUCCCACAACAUGAGGGAAAUAUGGGAGCUACAAUUCAAAAUGAUAUUUGGGUGGGGACAUGGCCAAACCAUAUCAGUAACUCUUGAAUAAUCUCCUAUAGCCUCUAUAGGAAAGUUAGCUGAAUGGUUGAGAAGAGAAGUCCAUGUGAUUUCUGUUCACACUGGAAAUGGAUGUGUUUGCUAAUGAAUGUCACAUAAUUCUCAUUUCUUUUGGUAUUCUUGCCAACUCAUAGAGAGUUAGUGCUUUCUAUGUGUCUUAUGUUAGCAAAGUACUAAAUACAUAGAGAACGGCUAUACAACAAAUAGUGAUUCAAGAGUGGGGAUUUCUGAAGUAUCAUUUUGGUUAUUUUGAAAUAUAAUGAAAAAAUAUAAACAAAUAUGUUGUUUUAACUACAGUAGUAAAGAUUCAUGUAACUACAGCUCAUAUUAAGAAUUAGAGCUAGAAGAAUUACUUUUGCCCCAUCCCAGUCACAUCCCCUUUUUCACAUCCUCUGUGUUAAAAUAGAUAAUCUGUACUUGAUUUUAAUGAUGAGUAUUCUUACAUUUUUAUUUAGUUUUACAGUUUUACUGUGUAAAUUAAUUACCUCAUAACUAUUGUUUAGUGUUGUCUGAUACUGAACUUUAUAUAAGGCAGUCAUAUUGUGCGCAUUCAUUGUGGAGUAAAAGCUCACCACCGUGUUUGUGAGAUUCAUUCCUAAAGGUAUGUGUAGCUCUGGUUUAAUCCUCUCCAUUGCUAGUUAGUAUACUAUUCUAUGACUAUGCCACAAAUUUAUUUGUUAAUUCUACUGGUGGAUUUUUGCUUUUGUCGACAAUAUUUUAUUAUUAUGAACAAUGUUGCUUUAGAGGUAUAAUAAUUUCUCUGUUAGGGUAUAUAGCUUGAAAUGGAAAUCAGUAGGUUGUAGGGUCACUGAAGGUAUGUAUUUAUAAACACUCAUUUAUGUCAUUGCUGCUGUUGUUUGUUUUAAGUACUCAAAAGAAUCCAAUACAGUUGCAUGUUGUGGGGACAAUUAUUGAUAAGCUUAUUAGUACUACUCUCUCAUUCUUCACUCCUCACCCUCUCACCAGGUACAUGUAUACACAUACACAGACACACGCACAUAUCCCCAGAACAGUGUUAGGAAUGGAAGUUAGAAUAAGUGUUAUAAUUUAGAUUAUUUUUAUAGUCACCUUUUUAUUUUCUUUCUAAUAACAUAAGGAGUUUGCUCAGAAAUUACCUUAUAAACAGUUAAAGAUCAGUUUAUUUUUAACUUGAUUCCUUUUUGAUUUAUAUCAAUGAAUCAUUCUGUAGCUCAGAAUAUCCUUCCAUCUAUCUUACCCAAACUUAAUGUAUUCUAAUAGUUAAAAUAAUUUCUGAAAGUUUUUAUAGCAAGUAUAAUUGACAUACAAGAAACUACAUAUAGAGACCACAUCAAGAUAAAAAGCUUCUGCACAGCAAAGAAAACAGUUAAUAGACUGAAGAGACAAUUCACAAAAUGGGACAAAAUAUUUGCAAAUUAUCCAACUGACAAGAGGUUAAUAACCAGAAUAUAGAAGGAGCUCCAACAACUUUAUAAGAAAAAUAUCUAGUAAUCUGAUUUUGAAAUGGACAAAAGUUCUGAAUAGACACUGCUCAAAAGAAUUCAAACAAAUGGCAAACAGGUAUAUGAGAGGUGCUCAGUAUCAUUGAUCAUCAGAGAAAUGCAAAUCAAAACUGCAAUGAGAUGUCGUCUCACCCCAGAUAAAUGGCUUUAUCCAACUGAUGGGCAAUAUCAAAUGCUGGUGAGGAUGUGGAGAAAACAGAAUCCUUGUAUGUUGUUGGUGGUAAUGUAAAUUAGUACAGCUUCCAUGGAGAACAAUUCGGAGGCUCCUAAAAAGAAUUAAAAAUAGAGCUGCCAUACCAUCUAGCAAUCCCACUGCUAGGUGUAUAUCCAAAAGAAAGAAAAUCAGCAUAUUGAACGGAUAUCUGCACUCCUAUGUUUACUGCAGCAUUCUUCACAAUAGCCAAGAUUUGGAAGCAAUUUAAGUGUUCAUCAGCAUGGACACUUCAUGAAUGGAUAAAGAAAAUGUGAUACAUACACUCAUAAAGAAUGAGAUUCUGUUAUUUGCAACAACAUAGAUGGCAUCGGAAAUCAUCGUGUUAAGCCAAGCACAGCAAGACAAACUUUACAAGUUCUCAGUUAUUUGUGAGAGCUAAAAAUUAAAAUAAUUAAACUCAUGGAGACGGAGUAGAAUGAUGGUUAGCAGAGUCUGGGAAGGAUAGUUGAGGGGGAAGUAGGAAUGGUUAAUGGGUACAACACAAUAGAAAGAAUGAGUAAGAUCUGCUAUUUAAUAGCACAGCAGGGUGACUCUACUCAAUAAUAAUUUAAUUAAAUGUUGAAGAAUACCUUUAAAAGUAUAAUUGGGUUGUUUAUAACACAAACGAUAAAUGCUUGAGGUGAUGGGUACCACAUUUACCCUGAUGUGGUUAUUAUACCAUUGUAUGCCUACAUCA